rnacentral:rRNA from 1 species
UGAUCCAGAGUACCACGAGACACGUGAAACCUUGUGGGAAGCAGGGAGGACCACCUCCCAAGGCUAAAUACUACCUGAUGACCGAUAGUGAAGCAGUACCGUGAGGGAAAGGUGAAAAGAACCCCGGGAGGGGAGUGAAAUAGAACCUGAAACCGUGUGCCUACAACCGGUCAAAGCCCCUUAUGAGGGUGAUGACGUGCUUUUUGUAGAACGAGCCAACGAGUUACGGUAUGUAGCAAGGUUAAGUACUUAAGGUACGGAGCCUAAGGGAAACCGAGUCUUAAUAGGGCGACUAGUUGCAUGCCGUAGACCCGAAACCGGGUGACCUAUCCAUGGCCAGGUUGAAGCGGGGGUAAAACCCCGUGGAGGACCGAACCACGUUGCUGUUGAAAAAGCAUGGGAUGAGCUGUGGAUAGCGGAGAAAUUCCAAUCGAACUCGGAGAUAGCUGGUUCUCCUCGAAAUAGCUUUAGGGCUAGCGUCGGAUAUGAGUAAUGGAGGUAGAGCACUGAAUGGGCUAGGGGGCGUAUCGCUUACCGAACCUUAUCAAACUCCGAAUGCCAUAUACUAUGAGUCCGGCAGUCAGACUACGAAUGAUAAGAUCCGUGGUCAAAAGGGAAAAAGCCCAGAUCGUCAGCUAAGGUCCCAAAGUGUAAGUUAAGUGGUAAAGGAUGUGGGAUUUCUAAGACAACUAGGAUGUUGGCUUAGAAGCAGCCACUCAUUUAAAGAGUGCGUAAUAGCUCACUAGUCGAGAGAUCCUGCGCCGAAAAUGUCCGGGGCUCAAACUUACCACCGAAGCUACGGGCUCAAGUUUACUUGAGCGGUAGAGGAGCGUCGUAAUCGGGCUGAAGUCGUACCGUAAGGAGCGGUGGACUGAUUACGAGUGAGAAUGUUGGCAUUAGUAGCGAGAUGUAAGUGAGAAUCUUACAGGCCGAAAAUCUAAGGUUUCCUGGGGAAGGCUCGUCCGCCCAGGGUUAGUCGGGACCUAAGCCGAGGCCGAAAGGCGUAGGUGAUGGACAAUUGGUUGAUAUUCCAAUACCACUAUUAUCGUUAUUAUCGAUGGUGUGACGGAGAAGGAUAGGAUGUGCUAGCGAUUGGAAAUGCUAGUCUAAGCAUUUAGGGAGUUAAAGUAGGCAAAUCCGCUUUAACAAUUCUGAGGUGUGAUGGGGAAGGUCAUUUUGACUGAAGUAUCUGAUUCCAUGCUUCCAAGAAAAGCAUCUAGAGAGAGAAGUAGUGCCCGUACCGCAAACCGACACAGGUAGAUGAGGAGAGAAUCCUAAGGCCAUCGGAAGAAUUGCAGUUAAGGAACUAGGCAAAUUGACCCCGUAAGUUCGCGAGAAGGGGUGCCUGUGAGAGCAGGCCGCAGAGAAUAGGCCCAAGCAACUGUUUAGCAAAAACACAGGUCUCUGCUAAAGCGUAAGCUGAUGUAUAGGGGCUGACGCCUGCCCGGUGCUGGAAGGUUAAGGGGAACACUUAGCGCAAGCGAAGGUGUGAACUUAAGCCCCAGUAAACGGCGGCCGUAACUAUAACGGUCCUAAGGUAGCGAAAUUCCUUGUCAGGUAAGUUCUGACCCGCACGAAUGGCGUAAUGACUUGGGCACUGUCUCAACUGCAAAUCCGGCGAAGUUGUAGUGCGAGUGAAGAUGCUCGCUACCCGCGAUUGGACGGAAAGACCCCGUAGAGCUUUACUGUAGCUUAGCAUUGAGUUUCGAUAUUGUCUGUACAGGAUAGGUGGGAGACUGAGAAGCUAGGGCGUCAGCCUUAGUGGAGUCAACCUUGGGAUACCACCCUGACAGUAUUGGGAUUCUAACCGGACGCCAUGAAUCUGGUGACGGGACAUUGUUAGGUGGGCAGUUUGACUGGGGCGGUCGCCUCCUAAAAAGUAACGGAGGCGCCCAAAGGUUCCCUCAGAACGGUCGGAAAUCGUUCGAAGAGUGCAAAGGCAGAAGGGAGCCUGACUGCGACACCCACAAGUGGAGCAGGGACGAAAGUCGGGCUUAGUGAUCCGGUGGUACCUCGUGGGAGGGCCAUCGCUCAACGGAUAAAAGCUACCUCGGGGAUAACAGGCUGAUCUCCCCCAAGAGUCCACAUCGACGGGGAGGUUUGGCACCUCGAUGUCGGCUCGUCGCAUCCUGGGGCUG